UCCAACCUUUGCCUUUUUCUUUGCUGCGGCC
rnacentral:piRNA from 1 species